GACGGAGGGUGCAAGCGUUGUUCGGAUUCAUUGGGCGUAAAGGGUGCGUAGGUGGUGCUGUAAGUCAGGUGUGAAAUCUCGGGGCUCAACCCCGAAACUGCACUUGAUACUGCAGUGCUCGAGGACUGGAGAGGAGAUUGGAAUUCAUGGUGUAGCAGUGAAAUGCGUAGAUAUCAUGAGGAAGACCAGUGGCGAAGGCGGAUCUCUGGACAGUUCCUGACACUGAGGCACGAAGGCCAGGGGAGCAAACGGG
rnacentral:rRNA from 1 species